GGGAGGGGGACACCUGCCCAAGGGGAAGGGAUGUGUGUUUGAGUGGAGGAGGUGCUGUUAAGCAGAAAGAGGAAGGAAAGACUCAGUUAUUCAUUGGGGAGGGGAGGAAGCUACUGACAAUAACAAAAAAAAAGCAACUGUGAGAAACCUCCUCAAGGCAGAGGGGGGAUGGGCCUUUCCUCCACCUAGGGACCUGCAUCCAAACCCACGGGGGGGGGGGGCGCGGGGGGGAGAGGAAAUGUGAGCUGUAGAACCAACAGGGGCAGUGACCUCCCGAGCAAACACUCUGUCGGGGCCACAGACACACAUGCAGAAGACAGGAACCUGAGCAGAGAGUCACUGUGUCCCUUCCAUCAGACACUGCGAUGAGCUGCCAGCCCCUCUGCUGUGUGGUCAUUUGUGUCCUCGGGGCAAUCCCCGUGGACGCUGCAGUUACCCAGACACCAAAACACCUGGUCGCAGCGACAGGGAGUAAGGGGACCCUGAAGUGCGAACAACAUCUGGGACAUAACGCUAUGUACUGGUACAAACAGAGUGCUCAGAGGCCACCGAAGCUCAUGUUUGCCUACAGCUAUAAGGAACUCGCUGAAAAUGACAGUGUCCCCAGUCGCUUCACACCCAAGUGCUCAGACAGCUCCCACCUGCACCUUCACGUGGCCGCCCUACAGCCAGAGGACUCCGCCCUGUAUCUCUGUGCGAGCAGCGAGGACACAGCCCCGCACAGCCAACUGCUCCCCGUGCACAAACCUCCUGGGUGCAGCGGGGGAGCCGUGGGGGCAACCAGGGCUCAGCUCGACAUCUCCGGUGGGACCCCAGACAGACAGAAACCCCAGGCCACGACGUGCCGGUCGGUUCGCUGGAUGCAGCAAGGCCCAGUUCCCUGCACAGACGCCCACAGCCUGUGGCCUGGCUCUGCCCGGGGCCAGACUGUGCCCGCGGCUGAGUGCGGGACGGAAAGGGUCCACCUCAAGUUCCUCCGGUAGCGUCCGAUCGGCACGUGGCCCCGGGGACUCUUUCAGGAGACGCGCUGCACUCUGGUCGCAGCGGCCCUGCCAAGCCUCCCGCCAACGCGUACCUUUCUCUGCCUGUUCCUUCCACCCAGGUGAGACCCUGGAUCUCAGCCCUGCUCCCAGCUCCAGACGCGCUCCGAGCCCCUUUGCAGAACACCUGCUUGCCUCACCACAGGGCCCUGUCAGUCCCUGCCACUGAGGAUAGUGGCUCCCUCGUGAGGUUCGGAUCGCUGUCCUCGAGGCCACUCUCUGCUGCACACCCGGGGACUCAGCUCUGCGCAGGCUCCUCUUCCUCUCGGGCUUUGACACUUUGAGGCUGGAUUCUUUUUCCUCCUGUCCCUUUAAUCCUAAUUCUUCAGGUCUCCACAUCCUGCGUUAUCAGCCAGAGAGCCUGAUGGCCCUGGAUCGUUGCCCGCAACAGGCAGGAAGGGGAGAAGGCCCCCAGCGUUUCAGAGCAGGACCGUAUACUCGGGGUUGUCUGUGCUGAACCCCAUAUUUUCUGACAUCGCCCCUUGCAAUGGCCCCAGUGCUGCACACGCCUUGGGACCCCAAGGGCUGAGCGGAGCCCUGUGUCCUGGGGAGUCCGAUGCCGCACUGACACAAAGGCUCCCUCCUCUCUCCUGUAGGGGGCGCUGCAGGGGGAAGUGGGCCUUGCAGGAAAUGUAAUGCCUCAGUCAGACUGACUAGGAACCAUGGGAGCUCAGAAUUCUCCUCCUGUUUCUGAUGCCCAGAAGCCUGUUCUAGGAGAGAACUCAUUCCUUCCCAAUCCCGUCAUGGAUUCCUGGCUCCUAUGUUGGGUGAGUUUUAGUCUCUUGGAAGCAGGUGAAUCUUUGGGAAUUUCUCAUCUUGGAUUUACCUGAGGCUCUUUCAAACCAUUUCCUUAUUCAAUCUCUGGCUUCUUUCUCCUCCCUCAGGACACACAGAACCUGAAGUCAGGCAGACCCCCAGCCACCAGGUCACAGAGAUGGGGACAAGAGUAAUCCUUAGAUGUGACCCAAUUUAUGGGUUCUGUACAUUGGUACAGACAGAUCCUGGGACAGAAAGUGGAGUUUCUAGUUUUAUUCUACAAGGAUAAUCUCUUGGAGAAGUCUGAAACCAUCAAGGACUGAUCCUCAGGUCAAAGGCCUGAUGGAUCCUUCUCCACUCUGCAGAUCCAGCCCACAGAGCUGGGAGAUUCAGCCACGUACCUCUGUGCCAGCAGCUCAGCCACAGCCUUGCACAGACGCCUCCAGCCUGCACACAAACCCUCAUGUAUCUGCCUCUUUUCCAGCUAUCAGAAUGCUUUUGCUGCCCAAGAAAGUCUGAUU